rnacentral:rRNA from 1 species
ACACAUGCAAGUCGAGGGGAAACGAUAUUGGAAGCUUGCUUCCGAUAGGCGUCGACCGGCGCACGGGUGAGUAACGCGUAUCCAACCUGCCCACCACUUGGGGAUAACCUUGCGAAAGUAAGACUAAUACCCAAUGAUAUCUCUAGAAGACAUCUGAAAGAGAUUAAAGAUUUAUCGGUGAUGGAUGGGGAUGCGUCUGAUUAGCUUGUUGGCGGGGUAACGGCCCACCAAGGCGACGAUCAGUAGGGGUUCUGAGAGGAAGGUCCCCCACAUUGGAACUGAGACACGGUCCAAACUCCUACGGGAGGCAGCAGUGAGGAAUAUUGGUCAAUGGGCGAGAGCCUGAACCAGCCAAGUAGCGUGCAGGAUGACGGCCCUAUGGGUUGUAAACUGCUUUUAUAAGGGAAUAAAGUGAGCCUCGUGAGGCUUUUUGCAUGUACCUUAUGAAUAAGGACCGGCUAAUUCCGUGCCAGCAGCCGCGGUAAUACGGAAGGUCCGGGCGUUAUCCGGAUUUAUUGGGUUUAAAGGGAGCGUAGGCCGGAGAUUAAGCGUGUUGUGAAAUGUAGAUGCUCAACAUCUGCACUGCAGCGCGAACUGGUUUCCUUGAGUACGCACAAAGUGGGCGGAAUUCGUGGUGUAGCGGUGAAAUGCUUAGAUAUCACGAAGAACUCCGAUUGCGAAGGCAGCUCACUGGAGCGCAACUGACGCUGAAGCUCGAAAGUGCGGGUAUCGAACAGGAUUAGAUACCCUGGUAGUCCGCACGGUAAACGAUGGAUGCCCGCUGUUGGUCUGAAUAGGUCAGCGGCCAAGCGAAAGCAUUAAGCAUCCCACCUGGGG